GGCUGCAGUCGAGGAUCUUCGGCAAUGGGCGCAAGCCUGACCGAGCGACGCCGCGUGCGGGAUGAAGGCCUUCGGGUUGUAAACCGCCGUCGGAGUGGAGGAAAUUCCAAGGGGUACUCCCUUUGGAUUGACCUAUACUCAGAGGAAGGACGGGCUAAGUUCGUGCCAGCAGCCGCGGUAAGACGAACCGUCCAAACGUUAUUCGGAAUCACUGGGCUUAAAGGGUGCGUAGGCGGCUCAGAAAGUAGGGUGUGAAAGCCCUCGGCUCAACCGAGGAAUUGCGCCCUAAACUACUGGGCUUGAGGAAGACAGAGGUAAGCGGAACUUAGGGUGGAGCGGUGAAAUGCGUUGAUAUCCUAAGGAACACCAGGAGCGAAAGCGGCUUACUGGGUCUUAUCUGACGCUGAGGCACGAAAGCUAGGGGAGCGAACGGGAUUAGAUACCCCGGUAGUCCUAGCCGUAAACGAUGAGCACUGGAUUGGAGGCCCUCCCAUAGGCUUCUAGUCGUAGCGAAAGUGUUAAGUGCUCCGCCCGGGGAGUAUGGUCGCAAGGCUGAAACUCAAAGGAAUUGACGGGGGCUCACACA
rnacentral:rRNA from 1 species